rfam:Allomyces macrogynus ATCC 38327 genomic scaffold supercont3.71, whole genome shotgun sequence.
UCCGCCAUGGUCCAGUGGUUAGGAUCCCGCGCUUUCACCGCGGUGGCCGGGGUUCGAUUCCCCGUGGCGGAG